rnacentral:lncRNA from 1 species
GGGGCUCCGGGGACCAUGGGGCUCCUGACCAUUCUGAAGAAGAUGAAGCAGAAAGAGCGGGAGCUGCGACUGCUCAUGCUUGGCCUGGACAAUGCUGGAAAGACAACCAUCCUGAAGAAGUUCAAUGGGGAGGACAUCGACACCAUCUCCCCAACGCUGGGCUUCAACAUCAAGACCCUGGAGCACCGAGGAUUCAAGCUGAACAUCUGGGAUGUGGGUGGCCAGAAGUCCCUGCGGUCCUACUGGCGGAACUACUUUGAGAGCACCGAUGGCCUCAUCUGGGUAGUGGACAGCGCAGACCGCCAGCGCAUGCAGGACUGCCAGCGGGAGCUCCAGAGCCUGCUGGUGGAGGAGCGCCUGGCCGGAGCAACCCUCCUCAUCUUUGCUAAUAAGCAGGACCUGCCUGGAGCACUGUCCUCUAACGCCAUCCGCGAGGUGAGUCCUGGAGCUGGACUCCAUCCGCAGCCACCACUGGUGCAUCCAGGGCUGCAGCGCCGUCACCGGGGAGAACCUGCUGCCGGGCAUCGACUGGCUCCUGGAUGACAUUUCCAGCCGCAUUUUCACAGCUGACUGAACCACUCCAGAUGCCCCCCACCUAGCAGUCCAGGUCCCUCAACCUUCACCAAACACUACCCAUGGGGGGUUGGGAGUCAGCCGGCCAAACUAACACUCCCCCUCCUCCACCCCAGCCUGCUGCUGCUACUGCUGCCCGCUGCUGCUCUGUGGCCACCCGGCUCCCAUGGCGGGAGGGCUGUGCCCUGGCUGUCUCUCUGGCUCCUGACCUGGCCUUUGGCUACCAUACCAAGAAGAGAGGGCUGGGCGGGGAGGAGCUGCUACUGCUGCUACCGAGGCUGUGGGCCUCAUCCUUCACUCAGUUGUGAAAUAAACCGCUCCUUGCCCC